rnacentral:rRNA from 1 species
UACGGGGGGGGCAAGCGUUGUUCGGAAUUACUGGGCGUAAAGGGCGCGUAGGCGGCCUGCUAAGUCACACGUGAAAUCCCUCGGCUCAACCGGGGAACUGCGUGUGAUACUGGCGGGCUCGAAUUCGGGAGAGGGAUGUGGAAUUCCAGGUGUAGCGGUGAAAUGCGUAGAUAUCUGGAGGAACACCGGUGGCGAAGGCGGCAUCCUGGACCGAGAUUGACGCUGAUGCGCGAAAGCUAGGGGAGCAAACGGG